UACGGAGGAUGCGAGCGUUAUCCGGAUUCAUUGGGUUUAAAGGGUACGUAGGUGGCCCUGUAAGUCAGUGGUGAAAACCUGCCGCUUAACGGUAGGCGUGCCAUUGAUACUGCGGGGCUUGAGUACAGAUGAGGUAGGCGGAAUGUGUAGUGUAGCGGUGAAAUGCAUAGAUAUUACACAGAACUCCGAUUGCGAAGGCAGCUUACUAAACUGCAACUGACGCUGAUGUACGAAAGCGUGGGUAG
rnacentral:rRNA from 1 species